rnacentral:tRNA from 2 species
GGAGGGUUAGGCUAACGGUAAGUCAGCGGAUUUGAAAUCCGCCGGGUUCACACCCAUGGGGGUUCGAGUCCCUCACCCUCCG